rnacentral:rRNA from 1 species
AUUGAACGCUGGCGGCAUGCUUUACACAUGCAAGUCGAACGGAUUUUGGAGCUUGCUCCAGAGUUAGUGGCGAACGGGUGAGUAAUAUAUCGGAACGUACCCGGCAAUGGGGGAUAGCGUAGCGAAAGUUACGCUAAUACCGCAUAUGCCCUGAGGGGGAAAGCAGGGGACCAGUAAUGGCCUUGCGUUGUCGGAGCGGCCGAUAUCGGAUUAGCUAGUUGGUGAGGUAAAGGCUCACCAAGGCGACGAUCCGUAGCGGGUCUGAGAGGAUGAUCCGCCACACUGGGACUGAGACACGGCCCAGACUCCUACGGGAGGCAGCAGUGGGGAAUUUUGGACAAUGGGCGAAAGCCUGAUCCAGCCAUGCCGCGUGAGUGAAGAAGGCCUUCGGGUUGUAAAGCUCUUUCAGGUGGAAAGAAAAGGUUACGGAUAAUACCUGUAACUGAUGACGGUACCAUCAGAAGAAGCACCGGCUAACUACGUGCCAGCCGCCGCGGUAACAC